rnacentral:rRNA from 1 species
UACGGAGGGUGCGAGCGUUGUCCGGAAUCAUUGGGCGUAAAGGGCGCGUAGGUGGCCCGGUCAGUUCGUGGUGAAAGCGCGGGGCUCAACCCUGCGUCGGCCAUGAAUACUGCCGCGGCUGGAGCACUGUAGAGGCAGGCGGAAUUCCGGGUGUAGCGGUGGAAUGCGUAGAGAUCCGGAAGAACACCGGUGGCGAAGGCGGCCUGCUGGGCAGUUGCUGGACACUGAGGCGCGACAGCGUGGGGAGCAACAGG